rnacentral:rRNA from 2 species
UCCGUAGGUGAACCUGCGGAGGGAUCAUUACACAAAUAUGAAGGCGGGCUGGAAUCUCUCGGGGUUACAGCCUUGCUGAAUUAUUCACCCUUGUCUUUUGCGUACUUCUUGUUUCCUUGGUGGGUUCGCCCACCACUAGGACAAACAUAAACCUUUUGUAAUUGCAAUCAGCGUCAGUAACAAAUUAAUAAUUACAACUUUCAACAACGGAUCUCUUGGUUCUGGCAUCGAUGAAGAACGCAGCGAAAUGCGAUAAGUAGUGUGAAUUGCAGAAUUCAGUGAAUCAUCGAAUCUUUGAACGCACAUUGCGCCCUUUGGUAUUCCAAAGGGCAUGCCUGUUCGAGCGUCAUUUGUACCCUCAAGCUUUGCUUGGUGUUGGGCGUCUUGUCUCUAGCUUUGCUGGAGACUCGCCUUAAAGUAAUUGGCAGCCGGCCUACUGGUUUCGGAGCGCAGCACAAGUCGCACUCUCUAUCAGCAAAGGUCUAGCAUCCAUUAAGCCUUUUUUCAACUUUUGACCUCGGAUCAGGUAGGGAUACCCGCUGAACUUAAGCAUAUCAAUAAGCGGAGGA